GUUACAGUUGACAGAUGAAACUCAGGGUUCCUGUACCCGAUUAAAGCACCCCAUGACUUCUUGUUCCAGAGGUGCAUUCCCCACUUAUCCCUCAGAAGCUGAGU